rnacentral:rRNA from 1 species
GAUGAACGCUAGCUACAGGCUUAACACAUGCAAGUCGAGGGGAAACGACAUCGAAAGCUUGCUUUUGAUGGGCGUCGACCGGCGCACGGGUGAGUAACGCGUAUCCAACCUGCCCACCACUUGGGGAUAACCUUGCGAAAGUAAGACUAAUACCCAAUGAUAUCUCUAGAAGACAUCUGAAAGAGAUUAAAGAUUUAUCGGUGAUGGAUGGGGAUGCGUCUGAUUAGCUUGUUGGCGGGGUAACGGCCCACCAAGGCUACGAUCAGUAGGGGUUCUGAGAGGAAGGUCCCCCGUAUUGGAACUGAGACACGGUCCAAACUCCUACGGGAGGCAGCAGUGAGGAAUAUUGGUCAAUGGACGGGAGUCUGAACCAGCCAAGUAGCGUGCAGGAUGACGGCCCUAUGGGUUGUAAACUGCUUUUAUAAGGGAAUAAAGUGAGUCUCGUGAGACUUUUUGCAUGUACCUUAUGAAUAAGGACCGGCUAAUUCCGUGCCAGCAGCCGCGGUAA